rnacentral:rRNA from 1 species
AUUGAACGCUGGCGGCAGGCCUAACACAUGCAAGUCGAGCGGAUGAAAGGAGCUUGCUCCUGGAUUCAGCGGCGGACGGGUGAGUAAUGCCUAGGGAUCUGCCUGGUAGUGGGGGACAACGUUUCGAAAGGAACGCUAAUACCGCAUACGUCCUACGGGAGAAAGCAGGGGACCUUCGGGCCUUGCGCUAUCAGAUGAGCCUAGGUCGGAUUAGCUAGUUGGUGAGGUAAUGGCUCACCAAGGCGACGAUCCGUAACUGGUCUAAGAGGAUGAUCAGUCACACUGGAACUGAGACACGGUCCAGACUCCUACGGGAGGCAGCAGUGGGGAAUAUUGGACAAUGGGCGAAAGCCUGAUCCAGCCAUGCCGCGUGUGUGAAGAAGGUCUUCGGAUUGUAAAGCACUUUAAGUUGGGAGGAAGGGUUGUAGAUUAAUACUCUGCAAUUUUGACGUUACCGACAGGAUAAGCACCGGCUAACUCUGUGCCAGCAGCCGCAGUAAGAC